GACGAACGCUGGCGGCGUGCCUAAUACAUGCAAGUCGAACGCAGUUGCGAACGGGUGAGUCCCGCGUAGGUAACUGCCUCAUAGCGGGGGGUAACUAUUGGAAACGAUAGCUAAUACCGCAUACUUUGAGAUGGACCUGCGUUGGAUUAGGUAGUUGGUGAGGUAAAGGCUCACCAAGGCGACGAUACAUAGCCGACCUUGGAGGGUGAGCGGGCACAACUGGAAUGAGACAAGGGCCAGACUUCUACGGGAGGGAGCAGGAGGGAAUCUUUGGCAAUGGAGGGAAGGCUGACCGAGCAACGCCGCGGGAUGGAAGAAGGGUUUCGGAUCGGAAAGCUCUGUUGUGAGAGAAGCGGUAACUAAAGAGAAAGGGACGGCUAACUACGUGCCAGCAGCCGCGGUAAUUC
rnacentral:rRNA from 1 species